UCCCAUCCUCCCAUGGGACAGGGAAGGGAAAUGGCUGCAGAGGAGCCAGCUCAGGGCUUCCAGAUUCCACACCUGAUGUGAUCUCGCAGCUGGAACGAGAGGAAGAGCUGUGGAUCCCAGAUCUCCAGUGCUCUGAGAAAGAAGUCCUCCCGAGAGCUGCCUGCACGGGGAGUGACCUAUGUCUGGAUUCGCUCAGUCUCCCAUCAGGUGAUGGGAUGGUGAGUGAA